rnacentral:rRNA from 1 species
GUCGCCUCCUAAAAGGUAACGGAGGCGCUCAAAGGUUCCCUCAGAAUGGUUGGAAAUCAUUCAUAGAGUGUAAAGGCAUAAGGGAGCUUGACUGCGAGACCUACAAGUCGAGCAGGGUCGAAAGACGGACUUAGUGAUCCGGUGGUUCCGCAUGGAAGGGCCAUCGCUCAACGGAUAAAAGCUACCCCGGGGAUAACAGGCUUAUCUCCCCCAAGAGUUCACAUCGACGGGGAGGUUUGGCACCUCGAUGUCGGCUCAUCGCAUCCUGGGGCUGUAGUCGGUCCCAAGGGUUGGGCUGUUCGCCCAUUAAAGCGGUACGCGAGCUGGGUUCAGAACGUCGUGAGACAGUUCGGUCCCUAUCCGUCGUGGGCGUAGGAAAUUUGAGAGGAGCUGUCCUUAGUACGA